rnacentral:rRNA from 1 species
UACGUAGGGCGCAAGCGUUGUCCGGAAUUAUUGGGCGUAAAGAGCUCGUAGGCGGUUUGUCGCGUCUGCUGUGAAAACCUAAGGCUCAACCUUGGGCUUGCAGUGGGUACGGGCAGACUAGAGUGCGGUAGGGGUGACUGGAAUUCCUGGUGUAGCGGUGGAAUGCGCAGAUAUCAAGAGGAACACCUGCGGCGAAGGCAGGUUGCUGGGCUGACACUGACGCUGAGGCGCGAAAGCUAGGGGAGCGAACGGG